rnacentral:rRNA from 2 species
AUACAUAACGACUCUCGGCAACGGAUAUCUCGGCUCUCGCAUCGAUGAAGAACGUAGCGAAAUGCGAUACUUGGUGUGAAUUGCAGAAUCCCGCGAAUCAUCGAGUCUUUGAACGCAAGUUGCGCCCGAAGCCUUCGGGCCGAGGGCACGUCUGCCUGGGCGUCACGC